GCGGAGGCGGCGGCAAUAAACGAGGCGCGAUAGAGGCCGCUGGCAUCUGCCGGCGGAACGAUGGCGCUGACGGGAAUGCCGGCGCGCUCCCAUUUCGGCUGUCCGACGUCCGCGUAGGGCCGCACGU
rnacentral:misc_RNA from 1 species